rnacentral:rRNA from 1 species
AAUAGAUACCCUGGUAGUCCAUGCCGUAAACGGUGGGCGCUAGGUGUGAGUCCCUUCCACGGGGUUCGUGCCGUAGCUAACGCAUUAAGCGCCCCGCCUGGGGAGUACGGCCGCAAGGCUAAAACUCAAAGGAAUUGACGGGGGCCCGCACAAGCGGCGGAGCAUGUGGAUUAAUUCGAUGCAACGCGAAGAACCUUACCUGGGCUUGACAUACACUGGAUCGGGCUAGAGGUAGUCUUUCCCUUUGUGGCUGGUGUACAGGUGGUGCAUGGUUGUCGUCAGCUCGUGUCGUGAGAUGUUGGGUUAAGUCCCGCAACGAGCGCAACCCUUGUCUUAUGUUGCCAGCAUUUGGUUGGGGACUCAUGAGAGACUGCCGGGGUGAACUCGGAGGAAGGUGGGGAUGACGUCAAAUCAUCAUGCCCCUUAUGUCCAGGGCUUCACACAUGCUACAAUGGUCGGUACAACGCGUGUGCGAUCCUGUGAGGGUGUGCUAAUCGCUGAAAGCCGGUCGUAGUUCGGAUUGGGGU